GUGGUGUGUGGGACGCUGAGCGUGUGGGCCUCUGCGGGGUCAGGCCAGGUUAAGCCGAGGCCCAAGCCCGUGGCGUGGGUGGGAGCGGCCGGCAGCAGCCCCUCAGCCUUGGGUGAGCCGGAGCGGGAAGCACCCGUCAUACUGGUGUGGAGCCGAUGGAAUUUCUGACCCAACAUAUUGCCAUGAAUUAAAAAAGAAAACAUGGGAGAAUUGCCUCUACAAAAUAUGAGCUUAAAGUAGAGAUGCAUCCCACAGAAGUCAUGGCAAGAGUAAAGGAAAUGAGACGUGAAUUUGGAGAACCCAGGAAAAUGUGCGACAGACAAGUACGGCCAUUACCAGAUAUGAAGGGCACAAGAAGCAGAUGCUGCCAAAGCUGACAACGUAGAAAGAUUCAGGAUCCGGCUGUUUCCUGGAGUCUUAAAGAGGUGAAAGAAGAAAGCCAGCUUUCACGUUAUACCCUGGGAACCUCGUACCAGAGCGAUGUAGCACCCAGGAAGGAAAAUGACAGCUUGACACCGUAGAAAAUAUGGAGUUGAAACGCAGAAGAGCUCCACUUGUCUUUCACGGCGGUGCUAAUGGCUUCUUCUGUUCCCAGACUCGUGCCUGCCUCUGGGUAAUUGGCAAAGACAGAUGUGCCAUCUAUCAUAAAAAAUUAAAAACACGAGAAGUAAAUGUGAAUUAUAAGUAUGUGAUUAUUAUUUAAAUGAAAUAAACCUUGAAAUUUCA